rnacentral:rRNA from 1 species
AUACAGAGGGUGCAAGCGUUAAUCGGAAUUACUGGGCGUAAAGCGUGCGUAGGCAGUUUGUUAAGUUGGAUGUGAAAGCCCCGGGCUUAACCUGGGAGGGUCAUUCAAAACUGGCAGACUAGAGUGUGGUAGAGGGUAGUGGAAUUCCUAGUGUAGCGGUGAAAUGCGUAGAGAUUAGGAGGAACACCAGUGGCGAAGGCGACUGCCUGGACCAACACUGACGCUGAGGUGCGAAAGCGUGGGUAGUGAACAGGAUUAGAAACCCCGGUAGUCC